CUUCUGCUCCCCUGAUAUCAAGUUCAUGUGCACUAUCUACUGGAAAAUAACUGCAAUUUUCAGCACCAGCAAGUAGAUUCCUGUUUCUAAUGGAGGACAGUGGUUGAUGACCAUUAAACCUGGAACUUCCCUCCGAGUCUGAACUGGGAACUAAGAAAACUUGGGAGAGACACAGGAGGAUAAAGAAGAAGUAAAAAUCACCAAAUAUCUGAAACUCAGAGGAACAUCACUACUGUUCUGGAAUUCAGAGGUGGGUUGCAAACUCAAGACCCCGGGCUAUUUUUAUUUUGCAGUUGUCUAUUUGAACAAUGAGUUACUUGCCUUCAGGUGGAGUGCAUCUGGUUGACUGCAAGCAUCCUAGCCCUUGUUAGGUACUUCUCCUGUCCUACCCACCUGUCCCCUGAAGACAUUUGAAUUUACAACCUAGGGCUUACUUAUCUAGAAAUACUGUUUUUAAAAACAAAAUUGGGUAUUGGGUAUAUACAAUUUUCUGUCCUGCUUUCUUUCCCUAAACAUUUUUAUGUGAGCAUUAUCUCCUGCCAUUAAUUAUUCUUUAAGAACAUGAUAAUGAUUCUACUCUAAGGGUACAUUAUACAAACCCUUCCCCUGUUGGGUAUAUAGAUUGUUUCCAGAUUUUUGCUGCCACAGAUCACACCAUGAUAGACAUCCUCUCUCAUACCUCCUUGACUGCAGGUCUUAUUUUCUUAGAACAGAUUCAUAGGAGUGGAAUUGCAAGCUCUCUAAAGACUAGGACACAGGUUGCCAAAUUCCAGUUUGGACCAAGUGACCCUCCAGGAGAGGACAGUGUGAUUAGCAGAACAGCGUGGCCUGGGCCUUGGGAAUAGAUGCUCAGGACCAAAAGAGGAGGUGUCGGCCAAACCAGUGUUUUGAAAUAAAGCCUAUAUCCACCUCUAUGUUAUUUCUUACAUGUUAAGAUCUUGACACCUUGGAUCAGAAGGGAGAAAAUCUCUGGGGGAGGUGAACUGUCUGCCAUCCACAGACCUCUAUCCUCCCCUCCUGGGAGGCGGGUGGGGAACUGCGGCGGGAUGAGACAUCCUCAGAGCUGGA